GCACUGCUGAAGAAUCUCAAACUAGGACGAAACGGCCGUCUAGUGC
rnacentral:hammerhead_ribozyme from 1 species